UAUAUAUAUAUAUAUAUAUAUAAUGUAAUUCUCACAUACAUGCAUACCUGUAUGAUAUCUAGGUGUGAAGUUGGCUCAAAUGAAUGACAAAAAGCAUGUCUGUGUUCAUAUCCGCUGCCACCAUCCAGUUCCCAUUAUGGAGGCAGUUUACCACCAAGUUUCAACAGCCAUUGUUGUUGUUGUUGUUGUUGUUGUUAUUGUUGUUACUACUACUACUCUUACUACUGCUACUACGACUGCUGCAUCAGCUUCUUUCUGCUGCUGCAAACUUUUAACUUGUGCAGAUUUUCGCAUAUUUGCUCUCUUUCUCUCUCUCUCUCUCUGUCGGCGCUUGCACCGACGGUGCCAGCUGCUGACAAAUACUUUCGACUUCAUAAGCUUUGAGUAAACUAUUGGCAGCAGACCUGACCUAAAUUUCUAAACAGAUUCUUCCACAAACUCUGUGGAAAAUAACAAGUCUUUGCCCCUCUUCCUUCUCCACCACCUGCUACCCCUCCCUCAGUCCCCACCGUUCUUGUGCCGCAUUUCUUCUUGUUUGAAUUUAUUUUUCUUAUGCGGUUGAUUGGCAAAAUCAGAAGAACCCCCCCAAAAAAAAAGAAGUUUGGCUGAAACCCUUUUAUCUUUCUGGGACAUUGAUCUUAUUAACAUCCCUGACCAUUUCUCCUCCAUCAAAAUCUGGACCCCCUUUCCAACUUUCCCUUUAAUUAUAUGAAAGGCUUAAUUGGUUGGCAGAAUCAAUGGAACAGCAACAGACCAAAUCCAUUUUUAAUGUUCUGAGUUUAAAUUCUUUGAAGGUUGGCUUUGCAAUUUUGUUCUGGUGUCGACAAAACAUCCACCAGCCAAGUACUACACGAACCCCACUCCUACCAUACAUCAAGUCUGUUUCGAUACUUUUCUUUUCUUGUUUAACCCCCAGAUGACCCCCAGUUGUGCAGAUGCUUUUGAUUCUUAUUUUUUUUUCUGUUUGAGGGAGACAUGGCUGCUAUUUUUAUCAGGUCUCAUGACCAUUUAGAGAUUCUCCCAUUUCGGUUCAUCGUAUUUUCAAGGUGCUGAUUUGACAAGAGUUCGUAGUUCCAGGCUAAUUACCACACAGUAAUUAAUUCUGUCUAAUUAACCUCUCUUCUUGCUUUCUCCCUUUUCCCCAACUCUCUCUCUCUUUUUCUCUACAUACAUAGUUGCAUACAUAUAUAUAUAUAUAUAUAUAUAUAUAUAUAUAAUAUAUAUAUUGUUGGAAACACUCCAGUUGUAACUCUUGACACUUGCUAGAGCCUAACAAAUGUUAUACACAAAACCUGAAGGCCAGGGUAACUGAGGUUUUGCUCUCAUUUCUAACUCUAAACAUAUAUAUAUAUAUAUACACACACACACGCACACACAUAUACACUGUUGAUAGGCCAGUGACUGCAGUAUUUGUCCUAAGAUAACAUCUCUUCUGGACAUAACGUGUUGCAAACAAUAUCUACUGCAGUAACUUGCUUAUCAGCAAUGUAUAUACAUCAAGUAUAAUACACAGAUAGCAUAUUUAUAUUUAAAGCUGCUACCAGUUGCAUAUAUAUAUAUAUAUAUAUAUAUAUUGGAAAUAUAAUUAAAUUAGUUCCUAAGGCAGUUGUCAAUCGAUAGACUUACAAUCAAAUUACCAAUUUACACGAAACUUCUAAUUACUUGUUCGUUAUAAUCAGCUAUAAACACACUACCCCUCUCCCCCAUCUCUCUAUAAAUGUCCUUUCUCCCUUUUUGUUAAAAAGGUGACGGCACAAUUUUUAAGCCUUAUUAAAUCUCAGAACGAUGUGCCUCGUUUUAAACAGGACGACAAAACACACACACACACACAGAGGUUUUUAUACCUGAUUUAUGACUUGUGUGAUGUUUCUCUCCUUUGCUCAAAGUAGAACUGACGAGUCAGAGCUAGCUGACCACCAACAGCUUCUUCUUUAUUUUGUUGCCAUUGGUGACACUCAAAGAAAUUCAUCAUAUGUUUUAAAGAAUAUUAUAGGUUAUUGAAACAUGGCUGUGUUCUGGGAUGUAAAAUCUGGAAAUGUUUUGUGUUCACAUCAAUGAUAGAAAUUGUUGCCUCCAUCAAGUUGGUUUAGGAGAGGCCAUUCCUUUCAGAGCUCUUGAUGACCGAUGGUCAAAAUUUCUUGAUGAAUAGGACUAGGAGACUGAUUUGAACUUGGCUUGCCAGGAGCUCACUUCCUCUCUGUGGUGCUUACAUGAAUGAACGUGUGAUGUUGGGGGAAUCUAACACAGUCAGUGCAAAAGUAAAUAGACACUAUCAUUUUUGGAAGAUUUAUUUCUCUUAUUAUUUUUUAUUAUAUUUGGAUAUUUAUUGCUCAAAGAAGAAGUUUCUUUCUAAUUGCUCUGCCAAAGUAGCCAAGUUGAUGGAGGUACUUUACAGAAAUACGCUGGCUCGUUUGGUAUUGCUCCGCAGUAUCAGCUGCCUUACCAACAGGGGAUUAUUUUCAACAAUCUCUUGGAUGGCCCAAAGACACCUGUCAAAGGGCCCCAGGUCUUUCACAGCCAGAUGCUGUUGGUUCCAUCCCUUUCCAGGUGAAUUGAACAAUCACUCUGUGGACUGUGUGGCAAGACGAAUCCCUAGGUUUUUGUACAAUCUUAUGCUCGUCAAUUCCAACAAUGGAUUGUCCUGCAAAUAUGCCUUCUUUGAAAAUCAAAUCAUUCUUUGCACCAUGGCUAAUUGCAAUAAACAAUUAAUAUACAAAUUCGAAGCACCAGGGAAGUAUCUUCACAGAUAGAAUGCUAUAAUGAAGACACAUGUCUGUGGAGUGCUCAGCGACUUACACGUUAAUUUCAUGAGCAGGUUGUUCCGUUGAUCAGAUCAACCGGAACCCUCGUCAUCGUAACCGACGGAGUGCUUCCAUCCAUGCUAUAAUGUAGGGAGUCUGUUAUACUUGUGGUAUUUGUGUGUGUGUGUGUAGACAGAGAGAGAGAGAGAGAAAGCUAAUGUACAUCAUUAAAAAAAAACGAUGCUUUUCAAAAGGUUUUUCUUUUUCAAAUCUGUUUUGUUAUUUCUGAAACCUAAUUUCCUGUUCUGGGAUUUUAGAGAAGUGCAGAACUCCGUAGUUGACCAAAGUUCUGGUCUUCUCACACAAACGGUAUUGAUUGUAUUUAUUUAUAAAAUUCUACAUUGUGUGUGUGUGUGUGCCUGUUUUAUCACCCAGGAGAUCACUUAAUACCUACUUGUUUUAAAUCCUCUCCCAACAUGCCCCACCAGUCAUGCCUCAUGAAGAAAAUUGUUUAAUUUUCUGAAGGCAGUUUAUGACCUCGUUGCCUAGACAACACCACCAACAAAGAAGUGAAAAAAGGAAAAUAACUGAAUCUUUUGAAAGUCAUACAGAGAUUGUAA